CACAACUUUAGCUACAAGGCAAGCGAUUUUGUUAAGGGGCUUUCAGUACCAUACUAGCCUACUAGACCAAAACACUCCAUAAAGGUCUGAACGCAGCAUGGGAAGCUUUUGCGUUUAAGUGCAUAUUCUCUGAAACCAGCUCCCACUUUCAACCUGGUGUGGGCGCCACAAAGUGCCCUCAUUGAAGACUACCGUGAACACUGCUUUGAUAACUUCUAUUUAGAGCUGGCUCAGGCAGGCCCUUAGAUGAGCUGCUAUAGGUCUAGACAUCCUGGGACACAACUUUUAUACAAUUUCAGGUCCCUAGAGUCAGUGCUUGCCUCACAGGUGUCUAUGGAUCAUGGUUAAAUAUCCAUUUUUGACCACAACCCCAGAGAAUUGACACAACAAGUUAAGGCAAUAGUUUUAUUGAAAGCAGAGAUAAGUAGGUACAAGCAAAAACAUCUUAACUAAUGCACUGUCCCAAAAACUGUUUCUAGGCGACGAGGUCCGAGGUGCCCGUGUAGCCGUCGGUCAGAGUUAAGUUGCCGUCGUCGCCCAGGGUGCCAUUGCCAGUGUAGAUGUCGGCCAAAGUUACAUUGUGGGUGCCGUUGCCAGUGUAGACGUCAGCAAAAGUCACAUUGCCGUCGUCGCCCAGGGUGCCGUUGCCUGAGUAGCCAUCUGCCAAAGUACCAUUGCUGCCAUUGUCGGCCAGGGUGCCAUCGUCGGCCAGGGUGCCGUUGCGGGUGUAGACGUCGCCCAGGGUGUCAUUGCCAUCUGCCAAAGUUCCGUUGCCCGUGUCGACGUCGGCCAGGGUGCCGUUGCCAGUGUAGACGUCAGCCAAAGUCACGUUGCAGUCGUCGCCCAGGGUGCCGUUGCCCGUGUAGCCGUCAGCCAAAGUUCCAUUGCUGCCGUCGUCGCCCAGGGUGCCGUUGCCCGUGUAGCCGUCAGCCAAAGUUCCGUUGCCCGUGUAGUCAGCUAGGGUCACGUUGCCGUCGUCGCUCAGGGUGCCGUUGCCUGCGUCGGCAUCUGCCAAAGUUCCAUUGCUGCCGUCGUCGCCCAGGGUGCCGUUGCCCGCGUAGACGUCAGCCAAAGUCUCGUUGCCGUCGUCGCCCAGGGUGCCGUUGCCCGCGUAGACGUCAGCCAAAGUACCAUUGCUGCCAUCGUCGCCCAGGGUGCCGUUGCGGGUGUAGACGUCGGACAGGGUGCCGUUGCGGGUGUAGACGUCGGACAGGGUGCCGUUGCCAUCUGCCAAAGUUCCGUUGCCCGUGUCGACGUCGGCCAGGGUACCGUUGCCCGUGUCGACGUCGGCCAGGGUGCCGUUGCC
ensembl:lncRNA